AAAAUGUGGAGGAGUUCCAUUAGCGGCAAAAGUUUUAGGUUGGACGAUGGGCUCCAAAAUGGAUAAGGAAGAAUGGUUGUCAAUUGGAAACAAUAAUGUUUUGAAUGCAUCAGAUGGUAAAAAUGAUAACGUUGAGUCUAUAUUGAAGCUCAGUUUUGAUCACUUGCCUUCAUAUCUGAAGUCAUGUUUCACAUAUUGUUCAGUUUUCCCGAAAGAUGCUCUGAUUGAAAAAGAACUAUUAAUUCGGUUGUGGAUGGCUGA
rnacentral:misc_RNA from 1 species